rnacentral:rRNA from 1 species
UACGAAGGGUGCAAGCGUUACUCGGAAUUACUGGGCGUAAAGCGUGCGUAGGUGGUUUUUUAAGUCCGUUGUGAAAGCCCUGGGCUCAACCUGGGAAUGGCAGUGGAUACUGGAAAGCUAGAGUGCGGUAGAGGGUAGUGGAAUUCCCGGUGUAGCAGUGAAAUGCGUAGAGAUCGGGAGGAACACCAGUGGCGAAGGCGGCUACCUGGACCAGCACUGACACUGAGGCACGAAAGCGUGGGGAGCAAAUAGG